GCUUGCUGGCCACCUGUUGGAGGUCAGCUCCUCUGAAAUGCAUUAGCGGAACCGUUUGCGAUCUGCCACAAGUGUGAUAAAUUAUCUGCACUGGCGAGGGGAUUGCUCUCUGUGUUGUUCAGCUUCUAAUUGUCUCGAUCUGAUGAGACAACUUCCUGAAUGCU
rnacentral:rRNA from 3 species